rnacentral:rRNA from 1 species
UAAUACGGAGGAUGCGAGCGUUAUCCGGAUUUAUUGGGUUUAAAGGGAGCGUAGACGGGUCGUUAAGUCAGCUGUGAAAGUUUGGGGCUCAACCUUGAAAUUGCAGUUGAUACUGGCGUCCUUGAGUACGGUUGAGGCAGGCGGAAUUCGUGGUGUAGCGGUGAAAUGCUUAGAUAUCACGAAGAACCCCGAUUGCGAAGGCAGCCUGCUAAGCCGCGACUGACGUUGAGGCUCGAAAGUGUGGGUAUCAAACAGGAUUAGAUACCCUGGUAGUCCACACGGUAAACGAUGGAUACUCGCUGUUGGCGAUAGACUGUCAGCGGCUUAGCGAAAGCGUUAAGUAUCCCACCUGGGGAGUACGCCGGCAACGGUG